UCUCUUUCUCAGUAUGAAUCUGGGGUUCGAGUUUUCUCAGCUGAACUGAGAAGCAAGCCCCACCCAUUCCCCUGUCUCCACCCACUUCUAGAGCUGAUGUUACAGGUCCGAGUGGGACAAUGGGUUUAUUUUAAAGGGUGCUGGGAUCUUAAACAGGAAGCCAACUUUUCUUUCAUCCCAUUGACUUUUUUUUUUAAGGCAGAAUGUGGUGGUUUGAAUAAGAAUGGCCCGCAUAGAUUCAUGUAUUUGAAUAUUUAGUCACCAGAGUGGAAUUGUCUUUUGGGAUUAUUAGAAGGAGGAGGCGUGCCUCCUGGAGGAGGUGUGUCACUGGGGGUAGGUUUUGAGGUUUCCAGCAUCAUGCAGAUCCUGCCCCAAUCCCCAGCCCACGUCAUAAUGAACUAAGCCUCUAAUACUGUAUGCAAGCUCACAAUGAAAUGUUCUCUCUUGUAAGAGUCUUUUCACAGCAGUAGAAUAGUGACUUAAGACAAAGGGGUUCACUAUAUAAAACUCUAUAGCCCGACAGAAUUCAUUAUGAGGAUCAAGCUGGCCUUGAAUUCCCAGAAACCUGCCUCCCCCUGCCUUUCAAGUGCUGGUAUAAAAUCAUGUCACCGCCAUGCCCAGCAACAGACAUUAAAAAUAGACUUGAUGCUGGAGAGAGGUCUUAGGGCUGGAGAUCAUUUCCCAGUGCCUACCUCAGACACCAGAGCUGCCCUACGUCCAGCUUCAAGGAAAUCCUGAGCCCUCGUGCACUCACAUACACAGACACACAACAUACACAUAAUUUAAAUUUGUCUUUUUUUCCCCCUGGAGCUGAGGACCGAACCCAGGGCCUUGUACUUGCUAGGCAAGUGCUCUACCACUAAGCUAAAUCCCCAAGCCCCUUAAAUUUAAAAAAGAUUUUAUUUAUUUGUAUGUGUGUAGGUCUGUGUGGGGCAGGGGUGCCUGGAGAAGUCAGGAGAGUGUGCUGGUACGGGAGCUGCUGCACAGCUGUGCUGAGAACUAAUUUAAGACAGGGUUUCUGUGUAGCCCUGACUGUCCUGGAACUCACUCUGUAGACCUGGCUGCCUCUGUCCCGCUAAUGCUGAGAUCAAGGGUAUGCACCACCGGGGUUUUCUGAAGAGCUGAGUGAGCUCUCCUGUCCCUGCAACAAAUGUUAGUCUUUGCGACAGGGUUUUGUUUUGUUUUGCUUUGCUUUGCUUUGUUUUUUAAGAUUUAUUUAUUUAGUUUUUAUAUAUAAGUACACUGUAGCGGUCCUCAGACACACCAGAAGAGGGCAUCAGAUCCCAUGACAGAUGGUUGUGAGCCACCAUGUGGUUGCUGGGAUUUGAACUCAGGACCUCUGGAAGAGCAGUCAGUGCUCUUAACCACUGAGCCAUCUCUCCAGCCCCUUUGUGACAGGGUCUUAAGCUGUAGCCUAGGAAGCCCAGACUGGCUUGGCACUUGGAGUAAUCCUUCCACAACUGUUUCCCUAACUGAGACUCAGGCAUGAACGGAGGGCUCUAUAACAUGCCUUUACAGCAUGUUCAGCUCUGGAGGUAAGUGGGCUCUGCUCAGACAGGCAGUCAUCAUCCCGUGAAGAUACUGUUUGCAUUGUAGAGGUCAAGCCAGUUGCUCAGGGUCACACAGCUUCUAAGUGACCAAAGCCUAGGAUUCUCCCUCUCACUUCAACCUUCAAGGUUUUACUAUGUAACCCUGGGAUCUAGCUGCUUGCCUCUGCUUCCGAGUGCUGGGGUUAAAGGUGUGCAGUUAAGUCAGGUGAGGAUGUUGCACACUUCUAGUCCUGGCACUUAGGAGGCAUAGACAGAUGGAUCUCUGUGAGUUCGAGGCCAGCCUGGUCUAUAGGAGUUCCAGGAUAGUCAAGGCUACAUAGAGAAACCCUGUCUCAAAAAACAAAAGCAGCCAACAACAACAACAGGUGUGUAGUUGAGGCUGGGUUUCAGAGACUACGCUCUCUUCUCUGCAGGUAAAGCUGUCCCUGGGCUCUGACACUACCCCCAGGCUCAGAAGCAGCAUCCAUCAGGGACAGGCAGCUGGAGGAGUCUGAACUUGUGGCAUGUCUGAAGUACAAGUCCCAUUUUGUAUCAUGGGGAAUGCAGAGUACUGGCCUAGCUGCUCUAGAGAGGCCAGAAGAGGAUACUGGGUCCCCUGGAACUGGAAGUCGUUAGCUAUUGAGGCCUGCUCCUUUUAACAAAACUGCAGCCCUUUUGUAUUCAAACUCCAUGUUAAGUUCAUAAUUAUUAUUCUGACACUGAAGAAUGUUACCCUAUUAUCUCAAUGUUCUGAGACUCCCUUGCUCACCACAGGGCCACCACUCCUCCUCUCCUCCUAAGACGAGGACCAGUCAGCCUGAAGAUUAGCUGAUAACACUUUGUCUAGUUAGCCAAAAAUGAUGCACCUCUUCACUGCUUGCCUUUGAACCUUCGAACCUAGGUUUUCAUAUAAAACGUCUGCCCUGAGGACAGACAGGUGCCACAGUUAGGUUUUCCUCCUUGUGGCCAUGAUAGAUCAGUCUGAAAGAGGUCAACAAACGUUCAUCACAUAUUCAAGACUGGUAUCUGAGUGGUCAGUACACAGCCUAUCCCAGGACAAAACAUUUGGUGCCUUGCCCGGAAAGCCAUCUCUUGCCCUGACCCUCGAGACUGCCUCUCAGAUGUAGUUGACUUCUAGAAGUGCGGGCUGACUCCCUCUCUCUGUGAGGAGGUAAGUCCCCUGAAGUGCACAGAUCUGUUUUUUGGUUUUCUAGUUUUAGACAUCUGGAAGGCUCCUAAGAGAUGCUGGGCACAGUUAUUCUCUUUGGGUCCAGGGACUCAGAGAUGCCUGGGGCCCCCCUGUGUGGAAGGGGUAAGUUAUGAUUCACCCCUUCAGGUGUGGUCAGGGUACCAGAGUCCCACCACACAGCACCGUCUGUCUUUGAAAACUGGUCCUGUCAAUAUAGAUGUCUUGUAUUUGUUUGUCUGGUUGUGCUGUUAUUCUUAAUAUAACUGUGAUUUAUACCAUUUCUCUCCCAGGGCAGUCCUGAGCCACUCCUAGUAUUCCCCUUGAGGAGAAUUUACACCAUUUUCAGGAUUUCCAGAGAGCAGCCAGCUUUGAGCCCUGUGUGAGCUCCAAUGGCUGUUCUUCAGCAUGGGGUGGCCCCCUGAGGGGCUCUUUGAAGUCUCUGAUCUUCCCAUCCAGGCUGUCAUCCUUCGUGGCACAGGUCACUCCAAUCAGAUUCCCUACAUCAUGGCUUGGUGGUACAUGUGAGCUGACCCUCCUUGCUGGUUGAAAGGUUUAGGACCUCCACCUCCUGUAAGUACAGCAGAGGAAACUGCUGUUUUCUGGAGCACUCUCACUGUCUUACCUAAGCCUUCUGCUCGCAGCCUGCUUCCCGUUCUUUCUCAGCCUGAGGAGGCUGAUGUGCCACCUCCUUACUGCAUGUCAGGGUGAGCUGCAGCAGCCGGGGCAGAGGCUGCUGCCUGUACCCUUGUCCUUUCUAACCAUCUCAUCUGCUGUAACGAGUCCAUCCCAUACUCCAUCUGGUCUCUAUUGUGGUUCCUUAACAGAGGCUUCCCCCCCCCCCCAGGGCCUUGCACUUCCUAGGCAAGCGCUCUACCACUGAGCUAAAUCCCCAACCCCCCCCCCCCAGGCUUUUCUUUUAAGUGCCAUUGCUCCCCAUCCCCCAGCUCCCUCUUCAGGAGGGAGAAAUGCCUUUUCUGGUCUAUCAGUCUUUCUCUGCUAGUGAUAUUUACAACAGGAAAGCUAAGAACCCAUGACAAAUAUCAAGCUCUGAUAUCCCUCUUGGAGACUAUCUUUCAUAGCCACCAGCCCCCCUGAGAUGGCACCCAGACAUGCUUCACCGCAGAGGAACAAGACCACAUUUGGCAGGAGGUCCUGAGUUCAAUUCCCAGCAACCACAUGGUGGCUCACAACUAUCUGUAAUGGGAUUGGAUGCCUUCUUCUGCUGUGUCUGAAGACAGCGACAGUGUAUACACACACACACACACACACACACACACACACACACACACACACACACAGAUUCUCAUGGGAUUGGGGGGGGGGGUCUCAAGGCUCCUUGAACUUGUCUAGGGUGGCCAGGUAGUACACAGUGUCCUAUGGAAUCUGCUGCCUUCUUGGAGAGACUACUGGAUGCCUACUACAACUAUUCUAUGAUCGACACCAAGACACCAGAGCCAGCUGUCAUUGAGGCUUCCAUGGGUCAAUCAGCCUCUGAUAUCCAGAAGAAGAUUCAGAAAAUUGAAGGCUUCAAAGAUAAGAACAGACAGCCACUUUGAGUGGCAAGAUCCAGAAAAUGGAUUCAGGGACAGCUGACCUGGACCAGAUUACCAACAAGGAUUCAAAACUCACCUACGAUUUUGAUGACUCAUCAGGACCAAUGUGAGUACAGGCAGACAUGCUUCUUUGCUUCAGUAUAUGGAUGAUUUGCUAAUGAAUGCCAUUGAUGUUGACUCUUAUAUAGAAGCAACCAGGUUUCCUCUAGAACCACUGCAGAAACUGAGAUAUAGGAUCUCAGCUAAGAAGGUUCAGAUUUGUGGAUCUGAAGUGACCUAUUUGGGUUUCCAGCCCAAGGGGAGUAAAGAAGUCUUUUCACCCUGUAAAGAAACCAUCUCAAGCAUCCCGAUGUCUAAGACCAGACACCAAGUAUGGAAAUUCUUGGGGUCAACUGUUUUUUUGCAGGCUCAGGAUACCAGGUUUUGCUGAAAUAGUUAAACCCCUUUGUGAGGCCACCAGGGGGCAUGAAGAGCCUUUCAUAUAGACAGCAGAAGGAAGUAGUUUGGGACUUGAAGUCAGCACUGUUCAGUUCCUGCCCUGGCGCUGCCUGAUGUGACAAAGCCCUUCCAUUUAUUUGUGGACAAAAGUUAAUGACCCUUUCAGACCUGGUCCUGCUUGAAUAUUCAGUUUAUUUCACAGAAGACAACCAGGCCUAAUAGCACCUAAGUAAUACCUCAUAAAGGACAGAUGGGGACAUACAACUGAUGAAAGAAAGAUUCUACCAAAAAUUUGGUCAGAACUUUGAUCUAGGAUCUCCAUGCCAUCACUCAUCUGGGAAUGAAUAAGAUGAAAGAAUUAAUAUCUACAAAGUUUUUUAUUCAAGGGCCAACCAAGGAAGUGGAGCAUGUUGCUACUAGAUGUCAUCCUUAUCAAAUGACAAGCCCAGCUACAAAACAAUGUAUGCUAAAAGAGAAAGAGGAACCUCACCAGGAGUCUUCUGGGAAACAAACUUCUCUGAGGUAAAACCAGGAAAAUUUGAUUACAAAUAUCUUUUAUAUUUAUAUUUUAUAUCUAUAAAAAGUUUAUAUAUACCUUCUUAGGAUGGACUGAGACAUUCUCAACCAAGAAGUAAAGUCCUCAAACUAUAAGAAACUCAUUGAGGGGCUGGAGAGAUGGCUCAGCGGUUAAGAGCACCCGACUGCUCUUCCAGAGGUCAUGAGUUCAAUUCCCAGCAACCACAUGGUGGCUUACAACCAUCUGUAAAGAGAUCUGAUGCCCUCUUCUGGUGUAUCUGAAGACAGCUACAGUGUACUUGUAUAUAAUAAAUAAAUAAAUCUUUAAAAAAAAAAAAAGAAACUCAUCGAGGAAAUAAUACCUUGGUUUAGAACUCCUAUGGCCUUGGGAUUUGACAAUGGACCAGUCUUCAUCUCUCAGGAACUCCAGAGGCUGGCCUAUGUGCCUAUGUUCAGCACCUACAUUAACUAAGGCUCACCAACCACCCCUCGUCAGUUCCAAGCUGAAGAUGUAAUCCUGGCUAAGAGACUGUAAAGGAUUCCUUGCUCCUCAAUGGAAGGGACCCUACACUGUGAUCUGAACAACCCCCACAGCUGUCAAUGUUGAUGAGAUCUACACUUGGAGCUGUCAUUCUUAUCAGAAGUCUGCUCCUCAGAAAUAUCAGGACC